AGGACGAACGCUGGCGGCGUGCUUAACACAUGCAAGUCGAGCGGAAAGGCCCUUCGGGGUACUCGAGCGGCGAACGGGUGAGUAACACGUGAGCAACCUGCCCUUAGCUCCGGGAUAGCUCCGGGAAACCGGAAUUAAUACCGGAUACGACCACGGCCGACAUCUGCUGUGGUGGAAAGGAUUCCGGCUAAGGAUGGGCUCGCGGCCUAUCAGCUAGUUGGUGGAGUAACGGCCCACCAAGGCGACGACGGUA
rnacentral:rRNA from 1 species